rnacentral:rRNA from 1 species
CAGUCGCCGCGGUAAUACGAAGGGGGCUAGCGUUGCUCGGAAUGACUGGGCGUAAAGGGCGCGUAGGCGGCGGCCAAAGUCAGGCGUGAAAUUCCUGGGCUCAACCUGGGGGCUGCGCUUGAUACUUGGUUGCUUGAGUGGGGAAGAGGGUCGUGGAAUUCCCAGUGUAGAGGUGAAAUUCGUAGAUAUUGGGAAGAACACCGGUGGCGAAGGCGGCGACCUGGUCCUUGACUGACGCUGAGGCGCGAAAGCGUGGGGAGCAAACAGGAUUAGAUACCCCAGUAGUCCCUGUCUCUUAUAC